rnacentral:lncRNA from 1 species
GUGCGGGCGGGGGAGGAUCUUGCCGCCGAAGCUGCACAUGAAGCGGACUCGCGGAGGCGCAUCGCCGUGGAUGUCGGAGCGUGGGGAGGACGCGACCGAGUCCGUGGCGGCGGAUUCCAGGGCUGUCUGGUGGUGGGGGGACAUGUCGGCGGCGGCUGGGGAAAGAUGGGAGCUGGGAUGACAUAGCGGCGGCGGCGGGUAAAAUUGAGAAUUGGGGUUUCUUCUCCGCCGUCAGUAGGAAGAAAGGACGGCGAAGAUCGAGAAAAACAAGUGAUUGGAGAGAAGUUUGUGGAAAUUCAGAGGCGGAGAAAGGGAAUAUUUGUGGGGGAAGAAAGAGUUAGUGGAGGGAAUAAUUAUUCAUAUGUUGAAAAAUAAAUUAAAAUAUCAAAUCAGCCGGCCAAAUAUGAUUUUUUUUAAA